AGACCCGAAACCCGGUGAUCUAGCCAUGGGCAGGUUGAAGGUUGGGUAACACUAACUGGAGGACCGAACCGACUAAUGUUGAAAAAUUAGCGGAUGACCUGUGGCUGGGGGUGAAAGGCCAAUCAAACCGGGAGAUAGCUGGUUCUCCCCGAAAGCUAUUUAGGUAGCGCCUCGUGAAUUCAUCUCCGGGGGUAGAGCACUGUUUCGGCUAGGGGGCCAUCCCGGCUUACCAACCCGAUGCAAACUGCGAAUACCGGAGAAUGUUAUCACGGGAGACACACGGCGGGUGCUAACGUCCGUCGUGAAGAGGGAAACAACCCAGACCGCCAGCUAAGGUCCCAAAGUCAUGGUUAAGUGGGAAACGAUGUGGGAAGGCCCAGACAGCCAGGAUGUUGGCUUAGAAGCAGCCAUCAUUUAAAGAAAGCGUAAUAGCUCACUGGUCGAGUCGGCCUGCGCGGAAGAUGUAACGGGGCUAAACCAUGCACCGAAGCUGCGGCAGCGAACGUAUCACUUAAAGCGAUUCAGCGGGUUACGAUUGACGGAGCGAAGCGACGUCAAAGCGUAUACAAAGUCGAGUCGGUUUAAGGAUACGUUCGUUGGGUAGGGGAGCGUUCUGUAAGCCUGCGAAGGUGGCCUGUGAGGGUUGCUGGAGGUAUCAGAAGUGCGAAUGCUGACAUAAGUAACGAUAAAGCGGGUGAAAAGCCCGCUCGCCGGAAGACCAAGGGUUCCUGUCCAACGUUAAUCGGGGCAGGGUGAGUCGACCCCUAAGGCGAGGC
rnacentral:rRNA from 1 species